rnacentral:rRNA from 1 species
UACGUAGGGGGCAAGCGUUGUCCGGAAUCAUUGGGCGUAAAGCGCGUGUAGGCGGCCCAGUAAGUCCGCUCUGAAAGCCCGGGGCUUAACCCCGGGAGGCGGGUGGAUACUGCUGGGCUCGAGUCCGGAAGAGGCGAGUGGAAUUCCCGGUGUAGCGGUGAAAUGCGCAGAUAUCGGGAGGAACACCAAUGGCGAAGGCAGCUCGCUGGGACGGUACUGACGCUGAGACGCGAAAGCGUGGGGAGCGAACAGG